rnacentral:rRNA from 1 species
UACGAAGGGGGCUAGCGUUGCUCGGAAUCACUGGGCGUAAAGCGCACGUAGGCGGACUCUUAAGUCGGUGGUGAAAUCCUGGAGCUCAACUCCAGAACUGCCUUCGAUACUGAGAGUCUCGAGUCCGAGAGAGGUGAGUGGAACUGCGAGUGUAGAGGUGGAAUUCGUAGAUAUUAGGAAGAACACCAGUGGCGAAGGCGGCUCACUGGUCCGGUACUGACGCUGAGGUGCGAAAGCGUGGGGAGCAAACAGG